UCUGGGGUGUGACAUAAGUGCAGUGAAGCUAUCACCUCAGA
rfam:Nomascus leucogenys chromosome 10, whole genome shotgun sequence.